CUGUCGUCAGCUCGUGUCGUGAGAUGUUCGGUUAAGUCCGCUAACGAGCGCAACCCUCGUCGUAUGUUAUAUGUGUCAUACGAGACUGCCGGUAAAAGCCGGAGGAAGGUGAGGAUGAUGUCAAGUCAGCAUGACCUUUAUAUCCAGGGCUACACACACGCUACAAUGGUCUGUACAAUGGGUAGCCAAGCCGCGAGGCGGAGCCAAUCCUGAAAGCAGGCCUCAGUUCAGAUUGCAGUCUGCAACUCGACUGCAUGAAGCCGGAGUUGCUAGUAACCGCAGGUCAGCAAUACUGCGGUGAAUACGUUCCCGGGUCUU
rnacentral:rRNA from 1 species